CUUCAGACACUGUAGCAUCUCCCUCGUCCCGUCAGCUCCCACGCCAUUGUUGUUUGUUCCGGGAGGAUGAUUCACCAGGACGACGGACGGACCAAGACGACCUGACCAGCCAGCCAUAUGGCAGUGUAAGUGUGUCCUCUGAUGUUAUCGAAGAGAAUGUAAUAAUACAGGAUUGAUCUGAUCAUAAGUUCAAAACAAGUCGGGUGCUUAAUUAUGUCCAAGCGAAGAGGGUUCUGUUCUGCCUGUGCUGGUACAUGCUUGACCAAAACGUCUGAAGACAGAACGAGCUGACAGUCACCCACACCCACUCCCACUCUCAUUUUUGGAUGUUCUUUUGAAAUGCACUCUCAUGCUUUUAACAGAACGGAAGGGCAAAAGAUGAGACUUGAAUAUGGUUCCCCGGAAGUUAAUGAUAAGGAUAUUAGGGCCGGUUAGGAUGUUAAUUAGUGACUCUUGUACAUGAACAUAACGGUAGUAGUAAACGGCGAAAUAUUUCCUACGGAUAUUCGGUAUGUAACCCUAGAAGUGGACCAUUUGAUGACAUCCGACGUGAGGGGAUGAGCGGUGGGAGGAGUUGGAAAGCAACAAUAGCGAGAUGAAGAAGAGUAAGAAGUUCUGGCCUCUCUUCUUCUCUGUCACAUCUACUUCACCAACUAUAGUAAGCGAGGAGCCACAUCCUGAAGUUGCGAUGCCGGGAGCAAAAUAGCCGGCAUACAUGAACACGCAAGCUUGCAACUCGCCUCUUUCCAGGGACCAAGAGGAUGCGUUGCCGCCACUGCUGCCGGGAAGCAGGAACCAAGAAGAUCCACUGUCGCCACGAAUUACGGAAUGAGAAGUCUCCACCGCAAAUUAGUGCCACCUCCGCAGAUGCCACGUUCGAGCGUAACACUUCCCUCACAACCGCAACGACAUGUCCACCACCAAGAUAUGUUGGGGCCGCCGCCUUUGUGUCCAACCUCCAUCGAUGUGCUUUUUGUCCAGGUCCACCUCAACGCUCUAGCUGCUAAGACUCCUACAACGCAGAAGGGAAAGAGACGGCGAUAGGGGCUAGGGUUUUGACUCGACCACCGCUGGGAGAGACUCGGGUUUACAUCUGCUCUAUAUGAGAAAAUUUGUAAUUCUAAAUUUACAUCUGUCUUAUUCGAUGUAAUGGGUUGCAUUUGUCCAUGGAUCAUUCUAGUUGCCACAUGUGUCUUUCAAUAUAAGCAUGGUAACUCUAUAAAAAAUCUUAUAAAUUGUUUGUGAAGUAUAUAAUAGAUAACUUUAUCUUAUAUACUAUUUGAUCUCCUCUGUUUACUUUAUAAUACAAUCCUAUGUUUCAUCAUUCUAUAGAAUGUUGGACCAUGGUAUUAUGCUCUAGUGACAGGCGGUUUCAUCUGAAAUGACAUUGCACACAUAAUAUAAACUAUCAUGUCAUUUUACAUCAUUCAAAGCAAAAUUGAUCAUCAUCUGGGUUGGGUUGCUAAAAUAUGUGCAUUUGCUAAAGUUUAGGUGACCAUGAUCUCCGCAAAUCAUAAUUGACUGCUCAACUAUGUGAUUUCUUUGUGUUUCAUAGAAAGCUCUCAUCGGAGAUGGGAGAGGGCGGUUUAGAGGGUUGGCCUUAUCUAGUGGCAGCAUUGUCAAACUUGACGACCAUGACAACCCUCGGGAACAAAGGAAGAGAGUGUGGUAGCUGGGCAUUAAAGGAGACAUGGAUUCUAUUGUGUUUCCAGUGAAAAUUAGGCAAUUGUCAUAUAGGAGGUAGUCAUAGAAAUACUGAAAUACAUAGCAG
rnacentral:rRNA from 1 species